rnacentral:rRNA from 1 species
GACGAACGCUGGCGGCGUGCUUAACACACGCAACUCGAACGGACCGGCCUGCUUUCCCUUGUGGAUUGCGGGUACUCGAGUGGCGAACGGGUGAGUAACACGUGAGUGAUCUGCCCCCAACUUGGGUAUAAGCCUGGGAAACUGGGUCUAAUUCCCGAUAGGACUGCAGGGUGGUGCUUGAGGUGGAAAACGAUCUUCUAGUGGAUGGGGAUGAGCUCGCGGCCUAUCAGCUUGUUGGUGGGGUCAUGGCCUACUAAGGUGGCGACGGGUAGCCGGCCUGAAGGGAGUGACGGCCACAUUGGGACUGAGAUACGGCCCUGACUCGUAGGGCGGGCAGGAUGGGGGGGUGUUACUCCAUGAGUGGAAGCCUAGUGCAGCGUCGCCAUGUUGGGAAUGACGGCCUGCGGGUUGUAAACUCCUGUCGAGCGCGGGUGAGGCUACUGGUUGGAGGGGUGGUGACGGUAGGGGUAGUAGAAGCUCCGACUAACUACGUG